CGCUGAAGAGAGGAGCUUGCUCUUCUUGGAUGAGUUGCGAACGGGUGAGUAACGCGUAGGUAACCUGCCUUGUAGCGGGGGAUAACUAUUGGAAACGAUAGCUAAUACCGCAUAACAAUGGAUGACACAUGUCAUUUAUUUGAAAGGGGCAAUUGCUCCACUACAAGAUGGACCUGCGUUGUAUUAGCUAGUAGGUGAGGUAACGGCUCACCUAGGCGACGAUACAUAGCCGACCUGAGAGGGUGAUCGGCCACACUGGGACUGAGACACGGCCCAGACUCCUACGGGAGGCAGCAGUAGGGAAUCUUCGGCAAUGGGGGCAACCCUGACCGAGCAACGCCGCGUGAGUGAAGAAGGUUUUCGGAUCGUAAAGCUCUGUUGUAAGUCAAGAACGAGUGUGAGAGUGGAAAGUUCACACUGUGACGGUAGCUUACCAGAAAGGGACGGCUAACUACGUGCCAGCAGCCGCGGUAAUACGUAGGUCCCGAGCGUUGUCCGGAUUUAUUGGGCGUAAAGCGAGCGCAGGCGGUUUGAUAAGUCUGAAGUUAAAGGCUGUGGCUCAACCAUAGUUCGCUUUGGAAACUGUCAAACUUGAGUGCAGAAGGGGAGAGUGGAAUUCCAUGUGUAGCGGUGAAAUGCGUAGAUAUAUGGAGGAACACCGGUGGCGAAAGCGGCUCUCUGGUCUGUAACUGACGCUGAGGCUCGAAAGCGUGGGGAGCGAACAGGAUUAGAUACCCUGGUAGUCCACGCCGUAAACGAUGAGUGCUAGGUGUUGGAUCCUUUCCGGGAUUCAGUGCCGCAGCUAACGCAUUAAGCACUCCGCCUGGGGAGUACGACCGCAAGGUUGAAACUCAAAGGAAUUGACGGGGGCCCGCACAAGCGGUGGAGCAUGUGGUUUAAUUCGAAGCAACGCGAAGAACCUUACCAGGUCUUGACAUCCCGAUGCUAUUUCUAGAGAUAGAAAGUUACUUCGGUACAUCGGUGACAGGUGGUGCAUGGUUGUCGUCAGCUCGUGUCGUGAGAUGUUGGGUUAAGUCCCGCAACGAGCGCAACCCCUAUUGUUAGUUGCCAUCAUUCAGUUGGGCACUCUAGCGAGACUGCCGGUAAUAAACCGGAGGAAGGUGGGGAUGACGUCAAAUCAUCAUGCCCCUUAUGACCUGGGCUACACACGUGCUACGAUGGUUGGUACAACGAGUUGCGAGUCGGUGACGGCAAGCUAAUCUCUUAAAGCCAAUCUCAGCUCGGAUUGUAGGCUGCAACUCGCCUACAUGAAGUCGGAAUCGCUAGUAAUCGCGGAUCAGCACGCCGCGGUGAAUACGUUCCCGGGCCUUGUACACACCGCCCGUCACACCACGAGAGUUUGUAACACCCGAAGUCGGUGAGGUA
rnacentral:rRNA from 1 species